UCCGGGGUUUCCCCGGCAGUCCCCCAUGAGUGCCCGGCAUUACCCGAUGGCAACAUAGGGCGAGGGUUGCGCUCGUUGCGGGACUUAACCCAACACCUCACGGCACGAGCUGACGACGGCCAUGCAACACCUGUCCUGGUUCCCGACUUUACGGGUGGGCAACCCUUUCAGGCGCCUACUUCCAGAAUGUCAUGCCCAGGUAAGGUUCUUCGCUUUGCAUCGAAUUAAGCAACGCGCUCCGCCGCUUGUGCGGGCCCCCGUCAAUUCCUUUGAGUUUUAGCCUUGCGGCCGUACUCCCCAGGCGGCGAACUUAAUGCGUUAGCUUCGGCACGGAAGGCCUAAGGCCCUCCACACCUAGUUCGCACCGUUUACGGCCAGGACUAC
rnacentral:misc_RNA from 1 species